rnacentral:rRNA from 1 species
GGCGAACGCUGGCGGCGUGCUUAACACAUGCAAGUCGAACGGAAAGGCCCUGCUUUUGUGGGGUGCUCGAGUGGCGAACGGGUGAGUAACACGUGGGUAACCUGCCCUUGACUUUGGGAUAACUUCAGGAAACUGGGGCUAAUACCGGAUAGGAGCUCCUGCUGCAUGGUGGGGGUUGGAAAGUUUCGGCGGUUGGGGAUGGACUCGCGGCUUAUCAGCUUGUUGGUGGGGUAGUGGCUUACCAAGGCUUUGACGGGUAGCCGGCCUGAGAGGGUGACCGGCCACAUUGGGAUUGAGAUACGGCCCAGACUCCUACGGGAGGCAGCAGUGGGGAAUAUUGCACAAUGGGCGGAAGCCUGAUGCAGCAACGCCGCGUGCGGGAUGACGGCCUUCGGGUUGUAAACCGCUUUCGCCUGUGACGAAGCGUGAGUGACGGUAAUGGGUAAAGAAGCACCGGCUAACUACGUG